rnacentral:rRNA from 2 species
UUUGACCUCAAAUCAGGUAGGACUACCCGCUGAACUUAAGCAUAUCAAUAAGCGGAGGAAAAGAAACCAACAGGGAUUGCCUCAGUAGCGGCGAGUGAAGCGGCAAAAGCUCAAAUUUGAAAUCUGGCGUCUUUGGCGUCCGAGUUGUAAUUUGAAGAAGGUAUCUUUGGGCCCGGCUCUUGUCUAUGUUCCUUGGAACAGGACGUCACAGAGGGUGAGAAUCCCGUGCGAUGAGAUGACCCGGGUCUGUGUAAAGUUCCUUCGAC